GGCCUGGUGGUCUAGUGGUAUGAUUCAUGCUUAGGGUUGCCCGUUGGGCGCCAAUGCGUGAGGUCCCGGGUUCAAUCCCCGGCUAGGCCC